ACGGGAGGCAGCAGUGGGGAAUAUUGGGCAAUGGGGGAAACCCUGAUGCAGCGACGCCGCGUGAGUGAAGAAGUAUUUCGGUAUGUAAAGCUCUAUCAGCAAGGAAGAAAAUGACGGUACGUGACUAAGAAGCCCCGGCUAACUACGUGCCAGCAGCCGCGGUAAUACGUAGGGGGCAAGCGUUAUCCGGAUUUACUGGGUGUAAAGGGAGCGUAGACGGCGAAGCAAGUCUGAAGUGAAAGCCCACGGCUCAACCGUGGAACUGCUUUGGAAACUGUUUUGCUAGAGUGCAGGAGGGGCAAGUGGAAUUCCUAGUGUAGCGGUGAAAUGCGUAGAUAUUAGGAGGAACACCGGUGGCGAAGGCGGCCUACUGGACUGUAACUGACGUUGAGGCUCGAAAGCGUGGGGAGCAAACAGGAUUAGAUACCCUGGUA
rnacentral:rRNA from 1 species